rnacentral:rRNA from 1 species
GCUCUUCGAUUCAGCGGCGGACGGGUGAGUAAUGCCUAGGAAUCUGCCUGGUAGUGGGGGACAACGUUUCGAAAGGAACGCUAAUACCGCAUACGUCCUACGGGAGAAAGCAGGGGACCUUCGGGCCUUGCGCUAUCAGAUGAGCCUAGGUCGGAUUAGCUAGUUGGUGAGGUAAUGGCUCACCAAGGCGACGAUCCGUAACUGGUCUGAGAGGAUGAUCAGUCACACUGGAACUGAGACACGGUCCAGACUCCUACGGGAGGCAGCAGUGGGGAAUAUUGGACAAUGGGCGAAAGCCUGAUCCAGCCAUGCCGCGUGUGUGAAGAAGGUCUUCGGAUUGUAAAGCACUUUAAGUUGGGAGGAAGGGCAGUAAGCUAAUAUCUUGCUGUUUUGACGUUACCGACAGAAUAAGCACCGGCUAACUCUGUGCCAGCAGCCGCGGUAAUACAGAGGGUGCAAGCGUUAAUCGGAAUUACUGGGCGUAAAGCGCGCGUAGGUGGUUCGUUAAGUUGGAUGUGAAAGCCCCGGGCUCAACCUGGGAACUGCAUCCAAAACUGGCGAGCUAGAGUAUGGUAGAGGGUGGUGGAAUUUCCUGUGUAGCGGUGAAAUGCGUAGAUAUAGGAAGGAACACCAGUGGCGAAGGCGACCACCUGGA